ensembl:processed_transcript
GAGAGAGAGAGAGAGAGAGAGUGCGUGAAAGAGAGAAAGAGAUGCUUGUCUUUAGGUUGCAAAAGGAGAAAAUGACAUUUCACACUUAUGAAAGCGACGGUCUGUGAGAAGCAGCAAGUUGUUUACGUGCAGAAGAGACGUUCAAAGCGCCACAGCGUCAACUUUGCGCGUGAUGCACCGUGUGUUGGUUCAGCAUCGCGUCGGAGAGCACGUAAUGAACCCGCAACCAAGAUAACUUUCAUACGGCAGUUCUACACAGAAGUGUGGCAGACCUUUUUCCUCUUUUAUUGACUGGUGAUAUAGAAUACCGACUCUCUUCAAGUGGCUUCAGAAAAAAGGACCACGCGCAAGUGUGGAGAAGAAGGAUUUUAGCGCGUACAUCUUCACAUGAAUGGGUGGUAACUCUUUGGUCACUUUUUACGAGUCUAAGAAAAGUUUUUGAAAGCCACGGGAAGAAAUAAUGGACGCGAGAAGUAAGCGAUGUUACAGUUUAACAUGCAGCGCCUCUCUUUCGUCGAUUGUCAUGGAAACAUCUCAAGCUAUGGAAGUCGAGAUGCUAGAUGGAUCCACCGUGAGAAGUUCUAUCAGUGAAUUUUGACUGCUUGUAUAUAUAUAUAUUUUUUUUUGCAGAAGAAUGUGAUGCUUUUCAAUAAACGCUCCCACACAUGGUCGUUCUUAAAAAGCAAAUUACCAACUGAACUUGUAUAUCAUUCCCGUUUGCGCUGAUAUUAUGGACAAGAACUUUACUAUAGCUAAACAGAUGGAGUUGACACUUCUCGUGGCCGUCCUCUUAUUUUGGAUCACCGUGUGUGCUGAUGACAGUAAGAUCAUUUCAGACCGAUAUGCUGUUUACUGGAAUAGCACCAAUUCCAGAUAACUCAACAAUACAGAGGAGGAAUAGGAAAGCUUGUGACAAGUGGAACAUCGCCUCCUUAGUCAUCUGGGAGUUUCCUCUCUUGAACUGCAGAUCCGUCAAACCUGUCAUUCUCGCAGAACCAGAGAAAAGGCCUAUUAUGCAGGAAAGUGUCGGCAGAGCAGGGAUUGAGUUUGGAGCGUGUUCAUAAAGGUAAAUUAUAGCCUAAAUACCUGAUGCACAGCCACUGCCAGGGUUAGUGGUACAGUUUUAAAUGCAUAGUUGCAUCUCAUGCUUGCGGUUCAUGCACUGCAAACUGUGCGGUGUAACAAAUAUCAGCAGGCUCAGGUAUGCUGUAGCUGUGCUUAUCACAUAUCCUGGUCAGCAUUUCCUUGGGUAGGUGCAGUUAUUAUUUCCAUCAAAAGUAAGAUGUUAAUUAUAUGGUUAUGAGCACAAUAUAUGUAUAUACUGUAUGUAAAGCAUAACAUGCAUAAUAAGUUAACCCUUUAACUGCCUUUUAAAUAAUAACUAAUUUAGUUAAUUUGUAAUUUAAAGAAAGACUGUUUUAAAUAAACAAUCAAAACAAUCAAACAAACAUAAUCCUAUUGGACUAC